UUGAACGCUGGCGGCAGGCCUAACACAUGCAAGUCGAACGGUAACAGGAAGAAGCUUGCUUCUUUGCUGACGAGUGGCGGACGGGUGAGUAAUGUCUGGGAAACUGCCUGAUGGAGGGGGAUAACUACUGGAAACGGUAGCUAAUACCGCAUAACGUCGCAAGACCAAAGAGGGGGACCUUCGGGCCUCUUGCCAUCGGAUGUGCCCAGAUGGGAUUAGCUAGUAGGUGGGGUAACGGCUCACCUAGGCGACGAUCCCUAGCUGGUCUGAGAGGAUGACCAGCCACACUGGAACUGAGACACGGUCCAGACUCCUACGGGAGGCAGCAGUGGGGAAUAUUGCACAAUGGGCGCAAGCCUGAUGCAGCCAUGCCGCGUGUAUGAAGAAGGCCUUCGGGUUGUAAAGUACUUUCAGCGGGGAGGAAGGGAGUAAAGUUAAUACCUUUGCUCAUUGACGUUACCCGCAGAAGAAGCACCGGCUAACUCCGU
rnacentral:rRNA from 1 species